AUUGAACGCUGGCGGCAGGCCUAACACAUGCAAGUCGAGCGAGCGGCGGACGGGUGAGUAAUGUCUGGGAAACUGCCUGAUGGAGGGGGAUAACUACUGGAAAAGGUAGCUAAUACCGCAUAACAUCAGAUGUGCCCCGAUGGGAUUAGCUAGUAGGUGGGGUAACGGCUAACCUAGGCGACGAUCCCUAGUUGGUCUGAGAGGAUGACCAGCCACACUGGAACUGAGACACGGUCCAGACUCCUACGGGAGGCAGCAGUGGGGAAUAGUGCACAAUGGGCGCAAGCCUGAUGCAGCCAUGCCGCGUGUGUGAAGAAGGCCUUCGGGUUGUAAAGCACUUUCAGCGAGGAGGCGUUACCCGCAGAAGAAGCACCGGCUAACUCCGUGCCAGCAGCCGCGGUAAUAC
rnacentral:rRNA from 1 species